ACUGAUUCUCAUAUACAUGGGAUAUUUGAGUGGUGUGUAUGUACUCGAAAAAAGCUUUAAAAUCUGCGGGCAAACAGGUUUUGCCAGACAAAUGGAUGUAGAUUCAGCUAUCGGCCUUGAUUCAUGUGUAGAUUAAGCAUUGGAAGCUCUGUUUUGUAUAUGGUGUCAACAGGAGGAUGUGAAAACAACUUAAAGUCAGCGCACCAGGAACGGAAUCACUGGGGGUCAUCCUGACCAUGGGGACAAAAACAAUGAGUUUUGGGAAAUGCACAAAGUCAUUUUGUUUUCAUUCGCUGAGGAAGCAGAAAGAACAGUGCAUUUUGCAUUCAUGAGAUAAGCUGUUUUAAACAAAACUUCAGUAGGCUAAAAACCUAACCUUAGGUCUUGUAUUAUUGUGCAGGUGCAAAUGCUAGUAAGUUGAGAUGAUUAAUAAAGAAUAAACAGGUCUUUGGAUUUUUUUUCUACAAUAGAAUUUAAAAAUCAAGAGCGUGGUACAAGUGGUACUAUCAGGGUGAUAAUGCUUUAAACUAUAUGUUAGAGAUUAAUUAGUUGUGUCACAGAAAAUUUUAAAUUCCCUGUCGCUCAGGAACAUUGAGAAAAUACUUUCCAUACUACAGUCAUAUUGGAUUUUUAGGGGCUGAUCCUGCUUCCAUUUGCAAACGUUAAUAAAACAUCCAUUGACCUGCAAUAAUUGCAGGAAUUGGCUCUACCCUCGUAGCAGGAAUUGUAAGUUUUGUAUAGGCUGGUGGCCAUGGAUUUAUGUACUCUGAAAUUCUGUGGCUGUGGAAUUUAUUGUAGAAUUGUGUUCUAGAAUGAGUAUUUAUUUA